GCCUUACACAUGCAAGUCGAACGGCAGCACGGGUGCUUGCACCUGGUGGCGAGUGGCGAACGGGUGAGUAAUACAUCGGAACAUGUCCUGUAGUGGGGGAUAGCCCGGCGAAAGCCGGAUUAAUACCGCAUACGAUCUACGGAUGAAAGCGGGGGACCUUCGGGCCUCGCGCUAUAGGGUUGGCCGAUGGCUGAUUAGCUAGUUGGUGGGGUAAAGGCCUACCAAGGCGACGAUCAGUAGCUGGUCUGAGAGGACGACCAGCCACACUGGGACUGAGACACGGCCCAGACUCCUACGGGAGGCAGCAGUGGGGAAUUUUGGACAAUGGGCGAAAGCCUGAUCCAGCAAUGCCGCGUGUGUGAAGAAGGCCUUCGGGUUGUAAAGCACUUUUGUCCGGAAAGAAAUCCUUGGCCCUAAUACGGUCGGGGGAUGACGGUACCGGAAGAAUAAGCACCGGCUAACUACGUGCCAGCAGCCGCGGGGUAAUACA
rnacentral:rRNA from 1 species